rnacentral:rRNA from 1 species
UACGGAGGGUGCAAGCGUUGUCCGGAAUUAUUGGGCGUAAAGAGCUCGUAGGCGGCUUGUUGCGUCAGCUGUGAAAACCCGCAGCUCAACUGUGGGCUUGCAGCUGAUACGGGCAAGCUUGAGUUCGGUAGGGGAGACUGGAAUUCCUGGUGUAGCGGUGAAAUGCGCAGAUAUCAGGAGGAACACCGGUGGCGAAGGCGGGUCUCUGGGCCGAUACUGACGCUGAGGAGCGAAAGCGUGGGGAGCGAACAGG